AGUGAACGCUGGCGGUAGGCCUAACACAUGCAAGUCGAACGGCAGCACAGUAAGAGCUUGCUCUUACGGGUGGCGAGUGGCGGACGGGCGAGGAAUACAUCGGAAUCUACUUUUUCGUGGGGGAUAACGUAGGGAACCUUACGCUAAUAUCGCAUACGACCUACGGGUGAAAGCAGGGGAUCUUCGGACCUUGCGCGAUUGAAUGAGCCGAUGUCGGAUUAGCUAGUUGGCGGGGUAAAGGACCACCAAGGCGACGAUCCGUUGCUGGUCUGAGAGGAGGAUCGGCCACACUAGAACGUGAACACGGUCCCGACUCCUGAGGGACGCACCAGAGGGGAAUAUUGGACAGUGGGCGCAAGCCUGAUCCAGCCAUACCGCGUGGGUGAAGAAGGCCUUCGGGUUGUAAAGCCCUUUUGUUGGGAAAGAAAAGCAGCAGGUUAAUACCCCGCUGUUCUGACGGUACCCAAAGAAGAAGCACCGGCUAACUUCGUG
rnacentral:rRNA from 1 species